UACGUAGGGUGCGAGCGUUGUCUGGAAUUAUUUGGGCGUAAAGGGCUCGUAGGCGGUUUUGUCGCGUUGGGGAGUGAAAACUCAGGGCUUAACCCUGAGCCUGCUUCCGAUACGGGCAGACUAGAGGUAUGCAGGGGAGAACGGAAUUCCUGGUGUAGCGGUGAAAUGCGCAGAUAUCUGGAGGAACACCGGUGGCGAAGGCGGCAUCCUGGACCGACACUGACGCUGAGGAGCGAAAGCCAGGGGAGCAAACGGG
rnacentral:rRNA from 1 species